GGCAGCGGAGGGAUAAUCGGGGCGGCCGGGGCUGAAGGGAGAGGCGCAGGAGCCCUGGGGAGAGUGGUCCCUGCCCUUCCGCGCCUCGAGCCAUCGCUACCGCCCUUCGGAACCAGUGCAGCGGCCGAUCAGUAAACACAGAGACUGGGGAUCGAUCAUGGGGCUUUGUAAGUGCCCCAAGAGAAAGGUGACCAACCUGUUCUGCUUCGAACAUCGGGUCAACGUCUGCGAGCACUGCCUGGUAGCCAAUCACGCCAAGAUCUCUUUCACUGGGCCUGCCUCAAUGAACGUGCUGCCCAGCUACCCCGAAACACGGCACCUGCCGGCUAUCAGUGCCCCAGCUGCAAUGGCCCCAUCUUCCCCCCAACCAACCUGGCUGGCCCCGUGGCCUCCGCACUGAGAGAGAAGCUGGCCACAGUCAACUGGGCCCGGGCAGGACUGGGCCUCCCUCUGAUCGAUGAGGUGGUGAGCCCAGAGCCCGAGCCCCUCAACACGUCUGACUUCUCUGACUGGUCUAG
rnacentral:lncRNA from 1 species